rnacentral:rRNA from 1 species
CCUACGGGUGGCUGCAGUGAGGAAUAUUGGUCAAUGGGAGGAAUCCUGAACCAGCCAAGCCGCGUGCAGGAUGACGGCUCUACGAGUUGUAAACUGCUUUUGUACCGGGGUAAAAUGCGUUACGUGUGGGUUUUUGAAAGUACGGUAUGAAUAAGGAUCGGCUAAAUCCGUGCCAGCAGCCGCGGUAAUACGGAGGAUCCGGGCGUUAUCCGGAUUUGUUGGGUUUAAAGGGAGCGCAGGUGGUUUUUUAAGGUAGUGGUGAAAGUCCGAGGCUCAACCUUGGAACUGCAGCUAAUACUGGAGGGCUUGAGUUCGGAGGAGGUAGGCGGAAUGCGUGGUGUAGCGGUGAAAUGCUUAGAUAUCACGAAGAACUCCGAUUGCGAAGGCAGCCUAC